rnacentral:rRNA from 1 species
UACGAAGGUCCCAAGCGUUAUCCGGAUUUAUUGGGUUUAAAGGGUGCGUAGGCGGGCUAUUAAGUCAGUGGUGAAAUCUCCGAGCCUAACUCGGAAACUGCCAUUGAUACUGAUGGUCUUGAGUACAUUUGAGGUGGGCGGAAUGUGUCAUGUAGCGGUGAAAUACUUAGAUAUGACACAGAACUCCGAUUGCGAAGGCAGCUCACUAAACUGUAACUGACGCUGAGGCACGAAAGCGUGGGGAUCAAACAGG